rnacentral:rRNA from 1 species
CAAGAGUCCAUAUCGACGGGAUGGUUUGGCACCUCGAUGUCGGCUCGUCGCAUCCUGGGGCUGGAGUCGGUCCCAAGGGUUGGGCUGUUCGCCCAUUAAAGCGGUACGCGAGCUGGGUUUAGAACGUCGUGAGACAGUUCGGUCCCUAUCCGCUGUGCGCGUAGGAGUCUUGAGAAGGGCUGUCCCUAGUACGAGAGGACCGGGACGGACGAACCUCUGGUGUGCCAGUUGUUCUGCCAAGGGCAUGGCUGGUUGGCUACGUUCGGGAGGGAUAACCGCUGAAAGCAUCUAAGCGGGAAGCCUGCUUCGAGAUGAGGACUCCCACCUCCUAGAGAGGGUAAGGCUCCCAGUAGACGACUGGGUUGAUAGGCCGGAUAUGGAAGCACGGUAACGUGUGGAGUUGACCGGUACUAAUAGGCCGAGGGCUUGUCCUCAGUUG